rnacentral:rRNA from 1 species
UACGGGGGGGGCAAGCGUUGUUCGGAAUUACUGGGCGUAAAGGGCGCGUAGGCGGCCUUCUAAGUCGAACGUGAAAUCCCCGGGCUCAACCCGGGAACUGCGUCCGAUACUGGAAGGCUUGAAUCCGGGAGAGGGAUGCGGAAUUCCAGGUGUAGCGGUGAAAUGCGUAGAUAUCUGGAGGAACACCGGUGGCGAAGGCGGCAUCCUAGACCGGCAUUGACGCUGAGGCGCGAAAGCCAGGGGAGCAAACGGG